AAAUAAAGUUCAGUUCUUUUGUGACUUCUGACCAAAGCAAGAACCAUAAAAAAGCAUUUCAAAUGCACCUUUCCAAAUUCACAAGAUUAUGUCUUCCCUCUUUCCAAAGAGCUGAGACAAAAGUACAAUGCUUGAUCCAUGCCCCCCAAAUAGGAUGAUGAAGUUCAGAUUGUGCAAGGACACUAUAAAGGUCAGCAAACUGGCAAAGUAAUCCAGGUUUACCAGAAGAAAUCAUCUAUACUGACAGGGUGCAGUGGGAAAAGGCUAACGGCACAACUAUCCAUGUGGGCAUUGACCCCAACAAGGCAGCUAUCACUAGGCUAAAACUGGAAAAGAACAGAAAAAGAUCCUUGAGCAGAAAGCCAAAUCUCACCUAGUAGGAAAGAAAAAUAGUAGAUAUGAGGAAGAAACAUUCGAGAAGAUGU
rnacentral:lncRNA from 1 species